rnacentral:rRNA from 1 species
CCUACGGGCGGCAGCAGUAGGGAAUAUUGCUCAAUGGGGGAAACCCUGAAGCAGCAACGCCGCGUGGAGGAUGAAGGUUUUCGGAUUGUAAACUCCUUUUGUUAGAGAAGAUAAUGACGGUAUCUAACGAAUAAGCACCGGCUAACUCCGUGCCAGCAGCCGCGGGAAUACGGAGGGUGCAAGCGUUACUCGGAAUCACUGGGCGUAAAGAGCGCGUAGGCGGGAUAGCAAGUCAGAUGUGAAAUCCUAUGGCUUAACCAUAGAACUGCAGUUGAAACUGGUAUUCUAGAGUAUGGGAGAGGUAGGUGGAAUGCUUGGUGUAGGGGUAAAAUCCGUAGAGAUCAAGAGGAAUACUCAUUGCGAAGGCGACCUGCUAGAACAUAACUGACGCUGAUGCGCGAAAGCGUGGGGAGCAAACAGGAUUAGAUACCCUGGUAGUC